GACGAACGCUGGCGGCGUGCUUAAUACAUGCAAGUCGAGCGGACCUUUGCCGUUUGUUGCCGGUUUCCGGCGACAAAUGGCAACGGUUAGCGGCGAACGGGUGAGUAACGCGUGGGUAAUCUGCCCCCAAGACCGGGAUAACAGAGCGAAAGCGCUGCUAAUACCGGAUGACCUCUCUUUAUCGCAUGGUGAAGGGAGCAAAGCUACGGCGCUUGGGGAUGAGCCCGCGUUCCAUUAGCUAGUUGGUGAGGUAACAGCUCACCAAGGCGACGAUGGAUAGCCGGCCUGAGAGGGUGACCGGCCACACUGGGACUGAGACACGGCCCAGACUCCUACGGGAGGCAGCAGUAGGGAAUUUUCGGCAAUGGGGGAAACCCUGACCGAGCAACGCCGCGUGAGGGAUGAAGGCCGUUCGGUCGGUAACCUCUGUCUUCGGGACGAUAAUGACGGUACCCGAGGAGGAAGGCCCGGCUAACUACGUGCCAGCAGCCGACGGUAAAGUACACGUCG
rnacentral:rRNA from 1 species